AACGAACGCUGGCGGCAUGCCUAACACAUGCAAGUCGAACGAGACCUUCGGGUCUAGUGGCGCACGGGUGCGUAACGCGUGGGAACCUGCCCUUAGGUUCGGAAUAACUCCCCGAAAGGGGUGCUAAUACCGGAUAAUGUCUUCGGACCAAAGAUUUAUCGCCUUUGGAUGGGCCCGCGUUGGAUUAGCUAGUUGGUAGGGUAAAAGCCUACCAAGGCGACGAUCCAUAGCUGGUCUGAGAGGAUGAUCAGCCACACUGGGACUGAGACACAGCCCAGACUCCUACGGGAGGCAGCAGUGGGGAAUAUUGGACAAUGGGCGAAAGCCUGAUCCAGCAAUGCCGCGUGAGUGAUGAAGGCCUUAGGGUUGUAAAGCUCUUUUACCCGGGAUGAUAAUGACGGUACCGGGAGAAUAGCUCCGGCUAACUCCGUG
rnacentral:rRNA from 1 species